rnacentral:rRNA from 1 species
UCGGGAAUUUUGGGCAAUGGGCGAAAGCCUGACCCAGCAACGCCGCGUGAAGGAUGAAGUCUCUCGGGAUGUAAACUUCGUAAGAAUAGGAAGAAUAAAUGACGGUACUAUUUGUAAGGUCCGGCUAACUACGUGCCAGCAGCCGCGGUAAUACGUAGGGACCAAGCGUUGUUCGGAUUUACUGGGCGUAAAGGGCGCGUAGGCGGCGUGGUAAGUCACCUGUGAAAUCUCCGAGCUUAACUCGGAACGGUCAAGUGAUACUGCUGUGCUAGAGUACAGAAGGGGCAAUCGGAAUUCUUGGUGUAGCGGUGAAAUGCGUAGAUAUUAUCCAGAACACCAAUUGCGUAGGCAAGUUACUAAGUCAUAACUGACGCUGAGGCACGAAAGUGUGGGUAUCAAACAGGAUUAGAUACCCAAGCCUGAGCGGGCUGGCAAGGCGCAU